rnacentral:rRNA from 1 species
UACGUAGGGGGCAAGCGUUGUCCGGAAUCAUUGGGCGUAAAGCGCGUGUAGGCGGCUUGGUAAGUCCGCUCUGAAAGCCCGGGGCUCAACCCCGGGAGGCGGGUGGAUACUGUCAAGCUCGAGUCCGGAAGAGGCGAGUGGAAUUCCUGGUGUAGCGGUGAAAUGCGCAGAUAUCAGGAGGAACACCAAUGGCGAAGGCAGCUCGCUGGGACGUGACUGACGCUGAGACGCGAAAAGCGUGGGGAGCAAACAGG